AGGACGAACGCUGGCGGCGUGCUUAACACAUGCAAGUCGAGCGGAAAGGCCCUUCGGGGUACUCGAGCGGCGAACGGGUGAGUAACACGUGAGGAACCUGCCCUGGACUUUGGGAUAACCCUCGGAAACGGGGGCUAAUACCGAAUACGACACGGUCUCGCAUGAGAUCCGUGUGGAAAGUUUUUCGGCUGGGAUGGUCUCGCGGCCUAUCAGCUUGUGGUGGGUAU
rnacentral:rRNA from 1 species